AGAGCGAACGCUGGCGGCAGGCCUAACACAUGCAAGUCGAGCGCCGUAGCAAUACGGAGCGGCAGACGGGAGAGUAACACGUGGGAACGUACCCUUCAGUUCGGAACAACCCAGGGAAACUUGGGCUAAUACCGAAUACGUCCGUAAGGAGAAAGAUUUAUCGCUGAAGGAUCGGCCCGCGUCUGAUUAGCUUGUUGGUGAGGUAAUGGCUCACCAAGGCUACGAUCAGUAGCUGGUCUGAGAGGAUGAUCAGCCUCACUGGGACUGAGACACGGCCCAGACUCCUACGGGAGGCAGCAGUGGGGAAUAUUGGACAAUGGGCGCAAGCCUGAUCCAGCCAUGCCGCGUGGGUGAUGAAGGCCCUAGGGUUGUAAAGCCCUUUCGGCGGGAAGAUAAUGACGGUACCGCAGAAGAGCCCGGCUAACUUCGCGCCAGCAGCCGC
rnacentral:rRNA from 1 species